CUCCAGACUCCUACGGGAGGCAGCAGUGGGGAAUAUUGGGCAAUGGGCGCAAGCCUGACCCAGCAACGCCGCGUGAAGGAAGAAGGCUUUCGGGUUGUAAACUUCUUUUAUCAGGGACGAAGCAAGUGACGGUACCUGAUGAAUAAGCCACGGCUAACUACGUGCCAGCAGCCGCGGUAAUACGUAGGUGGCAAGCGUUGUCCGGAUUUACUGGGUGUAAAGGGCGUGCAGCCGGGAGUGCAAGUCAGAUGUGAAAUCCCGCGGCUCAACCGCGGAACUGCAUUUGAAACUGUGCUUCUUGAGUGCUGGAGAGGCAGACGGAAUUCCUAGUGUAGCGGUGAAAUGCGUAGAUAUAAGGAAGAACACCAGUGGCGAAGGCGGAUGACUGGACGAUAACUGACGGUGAGGCGCGAAAGCGUGGGGAGCAAACAGGAUUAGAUACCCGAGUAGA
rnacentral:rRNA from 1 species